AAUAAUUUCUUUCAUUUUUCUCUCUUUUGAAAUAGGUGUAGGUACUGUAUUUAUGCUGAACAGUGGCAAACUGUCUCAUGGCAUUGUGAUGAGGACAAAUACUUUGAGGAGAGAAGAAAUCUGAAAUUUUCAUUUGUGUACUGAAUUCCAAAGAGACAAAAGGUGGGCUGUGCCGGUGGUGUUGAUGUCCUCAGCCUGUGGUGCCGGGGUCRGACCGUAGCCAGUGCUCCCGGCAGCGCCUGCGCCGUCUGUGCGAAGGACGGCUCGAUCCCCCUGCUCGCCUCCCGCAGGCGGGAUGAAGAGGGCAAUCGGCUGGUAAGAGUCGAUGGGAUCUGCGUGGACGUGACUUUGUUGCUCCUGAUAACGCUACGUAAAAGCGAAGAAGAGCUGCUGCCAGAGUUUCAUUUCCCCUCCGCUUCUCACUACUGCCGCUGAAUGCAAGCCAGAUUUCCAAGGAGAAGAACAGUGAUGGACUGAGUAUUUCCAAGAACUGUGCACAGAAAUACAGCAGAGGAAGGCAGCAAUACGUCACCUGAUAAGGAGCUCUUCUUCCAGCAAAGCUCCAGCAGUGAAAGUAGACUAAAUGUAAGUAAUACAACCUACGCUUUUUGCCUCGUCUGUGUGUGUGGAAGAAAGGGCCCAA
rnacentral:lncRNA from 1 species